rnacentral:rRNA from 1 species
GAGUGAAGCGGCAAAAGCUCAAAUUUGAAAUCUGGUACCUUCGGUGCCCGAGUUGUAAUUUGGAGAGGGCAACUUUGGGGCCGUUCCUUGUCUAUGUUCCUUGGAACAGGACGUCAUAGAGGGUGAGAAUCCCGUGUGGCGAGGAGUGCGGUUCUUUGUAAAGUGCCUUCGAAGAGUCGAGUUGUUUGGGAAUGCAGCUCUAAGUGGGUGGUAAAUUCCAUCUAAAGCUAAAUAUUGGCGAGAGACCGAUAGCGAACAAGUACAGUGAUGGAAAGAUGAAAAGAACUUUGAAAAGAGAGUGAAAAAGUACGUGAAAUUGUUGAAAGGGAAGGGCAUUUGAUCAGACAUGGUGUUUUGUGCCCUCUGCUCCUUGUGGGUAGGGGAAUCUCGCAUUUCACUGGGCCAGCAUCAGUUUUGGUGGCAGGAUAAAUCCAUAGGAAUGUAGCUUGCCUCGGUAAGUAUUAUAGCCUGUGGGAAUACUGCCAGCUGGGACUGAGGACUGCGACGUAAGUCAAGGAUGCUGGCAUAAUGGUUAUAUGCCGC